UACGGAGGGUGCAAGCGUUGUCCGGAAUUAUUGGGCGUAAAGAGCUCGUAGGCGGUCUGUCGCGUCGGCUGUGAAAACCUGGGGCUCAACUCCGGGCCUGCAGCCGAUACGGGCAGACUAGAAUUCGGUAGGGGAGACUGGAAUUCCUGGUGUAGCGGUGAAAUGCGCAGAUAUCAGGAGGAACACCGGUGGCGAAGGCGGGUCUCUGGGCCGAUAUUGACGCUGAGGAGCGAAAGCGUGGGGAGCGAACAGG
rnacentral:rRNA from 1 species